rnacentral:rRNA from 1 species
AUUGAACGCUGGCGGCAGGCCUAACACAUGCGAGUCGAACGAGUGGCGGACGGGUGAGUAAUGUCUGGGAAACUGCCUGAUGGAGGGGGAUAACUACUGGAAACGGUAGCUAAUACCGCAUACCAUCGGAUGUACCCAUAUGGGAUUAGCUAGUAGGUGGGGUAAAGGCUCACCUAGGCGACGAUCCCUAGCUGGUCUGAGAGGAUGACCAGCCACACUGGGACUGAGACACGGUCCAGACGCCGACGGGAGGCAGCAGUGGGGAAUAUUACACAAUGGGCGAAAGUCUGAGGGAGCAAUGCCGCGUGUAUGAAGAAGGUUUUCGGAUCGUAAAGUACUUUCAGUGGAGAAGCGUUACCUGCAGAAGAAGCACCGGCUAACUCCGUGCCAGCAGCCGCGGUAAUAC